GGAACAACCGUGGAAACUGAAGUUCACUAUUAAAUCAUAGGAAAGAAAACAGGAGUAUUGCAAUGUCCCGGACUUCUGUAAGUGCCAAUGUGUUUUUACCACACCUGUAGAAACCUCUCCCUGCGUAGAAGUGUAUUUCAGCCUCUCUGGCCCCUUCCACUUGUGGCUUCU
rnacentral:sRNA from 1 species